UAACAGAUGAUCCAAAGUUCCCCUCGAUUUUGCCUCCCGACCGUCGCAAGGAGACCUCGAGGACCCCCACCCAGGCUGACUCCGAACAAUGGUUUCCUGGC